AUUGAACGCUGGCGGUAGGCCUAACACAUGCAAGUCGAACGCGAAAGUCCUUCGGGAUGAGUAGAGUGGCGGACGGGUGAGUAACGCGUAGGAAUCUGUCCUGUAGUGGGGGAUAACGUUUCGAAAGGAACGCUAAUACCGCAUACGCCCUACGGGGAAAGCGGGGGAGUCUUCGGACCUCGUGCUAUAGGAGGAGCCUGCGUCGGAUUAGCUAGUUGGUGAGGUAAAGGCUCACCAAGGCGACGAUCCGUAGCUGGUCUGAGAGGAUGAUCAGCCACACCGGAACUGAGACACGGUCCGGACUCCUACGGGAGGCAGCAGUGGGGAAUAUUGCGCAAUGGGCGAAAGCCUGACGCAGCCAUACCGCGUGUGUGAAGAAGGCCCUCGGGUUGUAAAGCACUUUCAGUGGGGAGGGAAAAGCUGGUGGCUAAUACUCACCGGCCGUGACGCUACCCACAGAAGAAGCACCGGUCUAAUUCCGUGCCAGCAGCCG
rnacentral:rRNA from 1 species